ACCGGGGUGGAGAAGUUGGUAUCUUGUCGGACUCAUCCUCCGAAGAUCGUGGGUUCAAGUCCCACCCCCGGAA
rnacentral:tRNA from 1 species